rnacentral:sRNA from 1 species
AUGACCGCCUGCGAACCAUCGGGCACGUCCUCUCCCCGUGCGCGGGGAGAGGGUUAGGGUGAG